CAGCAUCGAGGGUUAAACUGCUGUCACUCCACCCAUAUUAACCAUUUGGCCUGCAGUGGAUGAUCUGCUCCUCACCCCUUUCUCAGGGGGAUGGGUGCAUGACCAGUUUACAGGCCUUGGUGUGACUUAUUUGCCAUCACUAUGGUCCCGACACAACAAAUAUCGGACGGAUUGCAGACAUUCAUGGUUCUGAGAUGAUCGCUGCUCAUGACUAUAGCGCCAUGAGGUUGACAUUACAACUGUUGGAAGGAUCAGAGCAAGGACACCUGACCUGAACCUCUUGGACAGCACGGGUUGGGCAGCUUUGGACAGAGAUUUUGCAGUGAUGUCCGGGUUUGGGCGUAUAAUAAUUUAAAUAAUACUGAAUUAGUGAUGUUGCUAAGAUUCAGUUGUGUAGAUGGUCCUUGUUUUCUGCUAAUCACUAGCAUUCACCAUCGGCUCAGAGCUUCACAUAAAUUCAUGCUAGCCCCCCUCCCUGUGGCCAUUUUGAUGAUCCAGUAUGAGUCACUUGUGCAGCAACAGAGAUGUGAUCCCUCACUGUGGAUGUCUCGAGGAGAACUGGCUACGAAGACGGUGGCUUUUCUAAUGCUUCCGCUCUGUUGGGCCCACAAGCACACGCACAUCCGAUACAUCCACCGGCCCGAGCCAGCCAACUUCCUGUUGGUUCACAUGACUGGGAUAAAAUGAUCUUAUUAAACGAAGACAGCUGCUCCUUUUCCAAUGAUUUUGUAUGGGUUUUUGGAAUUAUUUUGCAUCAUCCAAGGAGUACACAAGUUGCCAUGUUCCUUUUUUUAUAAGUAUUCUGGGGCCUUUUAUAGUUUUAUUGAUAGGACAGCUCAGAGAUGACAUGAAACAGGAUGAGAGAGGUGGGAGGUGACAAGCAGCAAAUAGCCACAGGUCAGACUCAAACAAGGACAACACCUUUGCACCGCUGUAUCAACUGAGCUAAUGGAUGCCCUGAAGUUGCCAUGUUCUGCACCGCCACUAUCCUCGCCAGGGAUAAUUUUUUGAGGACCGCAAAAACACAGCCAGGUUAGUUGUUCUUAUUUGGUCAUUUCUGCUCAACAAAUAUAUGAAUUAAUUAUUGUUCAAAAAGACUUGAUUUGUUUUGAUGUUGCGGCUCUAUCAAAAGAGGAACCCUUGAGAAGGGAUGCUUCAGUCUUACUUUUUAUCUAUGUCACUCCUCCCCAUCAUCAUACCCCCGGUUCUCAUCUCAGCUCUGUGCGUGUCUACUUAAGGCAGCAGAUGUGACAUCUGGAGCCCAUGUCCACACUUCUGGGGACAAGGGUGAGAAAAAGACAAAAUGCAGAAGAUAUGUGGAGAGAGUUUCAAAUAAAAGGGGAUAAGGAAAUGUCCAACAGUGACUAGGAGAGAACAAAAACGCUGACUGAACAACUGGAGGGAGAAAUUAGAGCCCAGAUCAGUGUGACUUUGGAUGGACACAGAAUAUAAAUAAAGACAGAGACAAAGAGACAGAACAGCUGGAGAUGAUCUGGAUUGAAGGACGUUCUUUGGAGUUGGGCUGCCAGCGCUGCAACAGCUGAUUAUACUUUCACCUAUCGUCUCGCACAGGAGGCUGUGAGGCUUAGGUCUUUAUGAAGGACUUUAUUGUCUAGACAGGAGCAGCAGGAGCUCCAUUCAGGAUUUGAAUGAGGUCGACUCAGGAGGAAGAGGAGGAAAUUGUCCUAGAUUGAAAAUCGGUACGAAUGGCAGUAUAAAAACAAGUGAAAGGUGAAAAAAGCUGUUAAAACAAACACGUAACAUGUUGUAACGGUAGUGGAAGUGAGUAGACUGCUAAUACCUUUACCGACUGACUUGUACUAAAUGGCAUGGUGAAGUGUAGGGAUUUUAAAUUACCUCCCAGCCGCCUAUGAUAGACAGACUGGGUUUCUUUCACAUAAGUGGGUCAAAUUUGAAGUUUAACAGGACUUUACAGCUGGAUCUCAUUGCAAACACCAGCAGGAAUUAAAUAGGACAUCUGGAAGCCAUUUAGAUAAUAACCAUAAAUGCCACGUAUCUAAUCACCAAACCUACUGUCUUUAAAUAGUGUCUGCUCUAAUAAGGAACUCUUGACUAAUACUCGUCGAGAGAACUCGUGGCUCCAGCACAUGUGGUGCACAUCAGCUAGGAUGAGUGUUGCUGUUACAGUUAGUGUGCAGCUCCGCAACUGCGCUUUCGAUGCCGUAAAAAGAAGCGAUUGUGAAGUACACACUCGAGGAACAACUAUGAAGCGUGCCUCUGAUUUAUCAUCCAGUGUCAGUGCGUUCAUAUAUCACAAAGGACAUUUCAGAGGAU